AUGAUUAAAAGGUCUCUGUGUUUUUUCUCUCCCUCUCUUUCACUCUGUCGCUCUCUUCUGCACUUUAUCUUUCUUUCUAUCUUUAUCUACUUUCUUCCUCUCUCUCUUCCUCUCUUUCUUUUACUCUCCUUCUCUUUUUCCCUCUCUUUUUCUCUCUCUCUCUCUCCCUCUCUUUCCCCUUCAUUCUCUCUCUCUCCUCCUCUCCUCUCUCCCUUUUCCUCUCUUUCUUUUACUCUCCUUCUCUUUUUCCCUCUCUUUUUCUCUCUCUCUCUCUCUUCUACUCUCCCUCUCUUUUUCCCUCUCUUUUUCUCUCUCUCUCUCUCUUCCUCUCUCUCCCCUUCACUCUCUCUCUCUCCCCCUCUCCUCUCGCUCCCUUUUCCUCUCUAUCUCUCUUUCUUCUUCUCUCUCUUCCUCUCUUUCUUUUACUCUCCUUCUCUUUUUCCCUCUCUUUUUCUCUCUCUCUCUCUCUCUUCCUCUCUUUCUUUUACUCCCUCUCUUUUUCCCUCUCUUUUUCUCUCUCUCCCCUUCACUCUCUCUCUCUCCCCCUCUCCUCUCUCUCCCUUUUCCUCUCUAUCUCUCUUUCUUCCUCUCUCUCUUCCUCUCUUUCUUUUACUCUCCUUCUCUUUUUCCCUCUCUUUUUCUCUCUCUCUCUCUUCCUCUCUCUCCCCUUCACUCUCUCUCUCCCCCUCUCCUCUCUCUCCCUUUUCCUCUCUAUCUCUCUUUCUUCCUCUCUCUCUUCCUCUCUUUCUUUCACUCUCCCUCUCUUUUUCUCUCUCUCUCUCUCUUUCUCCCUCUCCUCUCUAUCUCUCUUUCUUUUUCUCUCUCUUCCUCUCUUUCUUUCACUCUCCCUCUCUUUUUCCCUCUCUUUAUCUCUCUCUCUCUGUCUCUCUCUCCCCUUCACUCUCUCUCUUUCUCUCUUUCACUCUCUUUCUUUCCCUCUCCUUUUCCCUCUCUUUUUCUCUCUCUCUCUUUCCCUCUGUCUCCCUCUCCAGCUCAGGUCACUUUCAGGAAUCCCGGAAACGGCUCCUUUUACGGGAUGUUUUGGUGUCGCAUUUCAGGACACUGGAGUGA
rnacentral:lncRNA from 1 species